rnacentral:lncRNA from 1 species
GUAAUUUCAAUACCAAUAUAAACUUUUUGUUCCGGUUCGAGAUCUCUCCUCCUAAAUUUUUGUUUGAUUUCUUCAAUCAAAAGCUCUCUACGACAAACUGCAAAUUCUUCUCCAGAAUCUGCGGCGGAUUCCCUUAUCGGGUAUUCGAUUCCAAAUGUGCAGUAGCUUCUCUUCCUUCUAUUGCUUCAGAUUAUUGUUUUUUCCGUUAAUCAUUAGAAUGUACUUGUGCUUAAUGUUGAUAAUGAUUGUGAUUAUAAUCACUAGUAUACUUGUGUCACAUAUGGAACAAAUUUAGUUAUUUUUUGCUGUAAAUUGGUAGUAUACUAAAAACUCUAAGAUUUUUAAGUGUUGAAAAUUUCAAUAAUCCUAAGUCCCACUGUAUAAUGGCUAAGUUGAGAGAAAAAGUAUGUGCAUUCUUUCUUUAGUUGGAGUUUUGGCAUACAUAUAAACACAUUGAAGCUAAGAUUUUUGCCUAUCAAUAGAAGAAUCUAUAAGUUUGAAGAAAUAAAGUAGUAAUCCUUGUUUUUCUUUACAUGUAUGUAGCGAGACUCCUUCAUGACUCAACAAUUGUUAUAACUAUCUUCUUCUCUGUCUCUACCCACCUCAAGCUCCCUGUUAUCUCGGUGAGCACUUAACAUUUGAAGACGCUGAAUACGUUGUGGAAUUGUUCCAUCAAAUCUCAUGCUCUGAGGAUCUUCAGAAUAAGCUACAUAGUAAGCCAAUACACAUGCCUGUAGCCACGCCAAACCUACCCUUCCCUGAAAACACUCAAAACCAGUUAAUGAAGAGACAGCUCCAACAGAAACAGCACUGAGAAAACAGAAGGAGCUAGUGAGAUCCGAGUCAAUCAGUUUCUCCAACCCUGUUGUGCUUCUGAACUUCUUCCAGGUAUCACUCGAAGCCUCCAUGAAUCCUUUAUCAUAGGUUCCAACAUGUACAAAGCCCCAUCUGUUUCCAAGUGUAAUGAGUUUGUUAGCAAUGGUAGAGAAGCAAUCAGCACCUGAAUACAUGACCUCAUCGCUGCUCCCUGACAUUAGAUUAACACUUCUUAUUGAUCCUCUUAUGAAUACGAUGAUUGGAACAAGCGUCGAGCCAACGCAGAUGCUCCCAGUCAAGUGUUUCAUAGUGAUGCGGAAAGCAUUCCAAGCGUCCAUAUCUUCUCCAUGUGCAAAGUUUACAUAUCUCGCCCGUGAAAUCGCAACUUGUUGAACAUUCUUGAUAACUUGCAUCGUCCAUGCUAAGCUUAUUAUGAUUACGGAUAUGAACAAGAUAUCAAGAUUUGUUCUAGUGGAAGUUGCUCCUCCAAUUCCAGUCACCAAGAAACCAGAGUAAACGACACUGACUAUGAUUGAUAAGCAGACUACUUCUCUGGUUCUUGCAGGUGGAAAUGCUGUGGCAAGUGAUAAUAUUUUAUCGGUGUACUCAAGCCUCGGAGUAAUCCAGCAACCAUAGAGGGACUGAGUAAUGGCGAAAAGGACAAACACUGCACCUAUACCUGCAUCUACCGCUGAGCCAAUCAAAACAAGCAAGAUUCCUACCGAGCAGGUGAGUAUUGGACUAAGCCAGAACGUUGCUUUGACUGCUCUUGAUGGAUUGUAGAUAAAGAUGCAUUGCCAUGCUAAAGAUGCAAUUCCUGAGACAGCAACAGAUGCUAGUAAAGGAGGGUACCAUUUCUUGAGGUGGAAAUGGUGUGUACUUGCUGAGAUGAGACCGCGAAUGGUGAGAACGAUCACCAAAAGUGAGAUUAAGGUUAGUUGUGAGAAGAGAAGACCCUUGAAAAGAGUUCUAAAGAGUUUUCCUGCUAUGGUUUGUUGUGUUGUUGGAGGUGGUCUACCUUGUUGUUCCUGCAAAAAAAAAAAAAAAAAAAAAAAUGGUGUCUCAUCAACAGGUUAUUCAAAGCUGGUUAAUGUGAAUUCGUUAUGAACAUGCAAGUAAAAAGCACCAUGAAGAAAACAAGAAGAGACAAAAGAGAAGCUGGGUCUUGGUUUUGUUCUUGAGUCAAGAAAUAGUGAUGGAAGUCAACGAGAGAGGAUCAAAACAGAUAGCAUAAAGUAGAAAGCAAAACAGAACCCAGAGAGAGAGAAGAUACAGAGAUCAAGGUGUUUCCUGAUUCUUGAUUCAAAAGAGAGAAAUACCUUGAAGGCGAUUGGAGAAGAAGAAGGAGGAAGAGGAGACAUUAUUCUUGGUUCUUGAAUCUGCACGCGAGAGGCAUGACCGUUGCUUGUUGGUGUAGGCAUAGAUGCGUUGUAUUUGCCAGGAGUGUUCCUUGAAUCCCAAGUUCCACUUAACCAUCUUCAUCAAUCAUCAUUCUUCUGUUGUAUAUAUAUAUGUAUAUAUACAUACAUCUUUGUCAAUAAGUUCUAUCAUUUUGUUGAUGUUUUAUUAAAUGCAUUUCGAAUAUUUAUUAUACAUACUUUAUUCCAUUACUUUGACU